CCUACGGGUGACAGCAGUGAGGAAUAUUGGUCAAUGGCCGGAAGGCUGAACCAGCCAUGCCGCGUGAAGGUCAGUGCCCUAUGGGCGUUAAACUUCUUUUGUGCGGGAGCAAUAAUGGUCACGUGUGGCCAGACGAGAGUACCGUACGAAUAAGCAUCGGCUAACUCCGUUCCAGCAGCCGCGGUAAUACGGGGGAUGCAAGCGUUAUCCGGAUUUAUUGGGUUUAAAGGGUGCGUAGGCUGUGAGGUAAGUCAGCGGUGAAAUGCCCCCGCUCAACGGGGUGAAGUGCCAUUGAUACUGCCUGGCUGGAAUGCGGAUGCAGUGGGAGGAAUGUGUGGUGUAGCGGUGAAAUGCAUAGAUAUCACACAGAACACCGAUUGCGAAGGCAUCUCACGAAUCCGCGAUUGACGCUGAUGCACGAAAGCGUGGGUAUCAAACAGGAUUAGAUACCCGAGUAGUC
rnacentral:rRNA from 1 species